rnacentral:rRNA from 1 species
GACGAACGCUGGCGGCGUGCUUAACACAUGCAAGUCGAACGGAAAGGCCCUGAUUUUGUGGGGUGCUCGAGUGGCGAACGGGUGAGUAACACGUGAGUAACCUGCCCUUGACUUUGGGAUAAAUUCAGGAAAAUGGGGCUAAUACAGGAUAGGAGCUCCUGCAGCAUGGUGGGGGUUGGAAAGUUUCGGCGGUUGGGGAUGGACUCGAGGCUUAUCAGCUUGUUGGUGGGGUAGUGGCUUACCAAGGCUUUGACGGGUAGCCGGCCUGAGAGGGUGACCGGCCACAUUGGGACUGAGGUACGGCCCAGACGCCUACGGGAGGCAGCAGUGGGGAAUAUUGCACAAUGGGCGGAAGCCUGAGGCAGCAACGCCGCGUGCGGGAUGACGUCCUUCUGGUUGUAAACCGCUUUCGCCUGUGACGAAGCGGGAGUGACGGUAAUGGGUAAAGAAGCACCGGCUAACUACGUG